UUUCCGUAGGUGAACCUGCGGAAGGAUCAUUACGGAACAAAAUGUGAUGGGCAUUCGAGGGCUGUCGCUGACCAAAAAAUCGUACACGUCCGAGUGUGUCCUCUUGCACAAUAAUCCAUCACACUCUUUGUGCAUCACCGCGUGGGCAUCAUUCGGGAUCAUAUCGGAGGGGGGCUCGCGUUUUCACACAAUCUACACUUUUAAAAGUGUAGAAUGACCACAUUUAUGCAAUCAAUACAACUUUCAACAACGGAUCUCUUGGCUCUC
rnacentral:misc_RNA from 1 species